rnacentral:sRNA from 1 species
UUAAGAGUACUGGCUCCUCUUCCAGAGGACCUAGAUUUGGAACACCAGCAUGGUGGCCUGCAAUAGAAGUAUUGUGAGUUGGUGCUGAGACGACAGCAAAUCACAGGAGGAGGUGACAAUGCAGCAGGAUCCUAAGCCUAGCUCCUCUGAGCAAGAGGUCCUCAUCGGUCCUUACAGGAUCCUCAAGACCCUUGGCACAGGCAACUUUGCUCAGGUCAAACUGGCUGUGCACCUCCACACAAAGAUGCAGGUUGCUCUGAAGACCCUGGAAAAGGACAAAAAGAACGCUACUCUGAUUUCCACAGAGCUAGAAAUAAUGAAAUUAGUAGACCACCCUAAUAUAACCAAAUUGUUCCAUGUCAUGGAAACCAGUGAGCAUGUCUGCAUGGUUAUGGAAUACGCUCCUGGUGGUGAUCUGGCUGGUCGCAUCAUAGAGGUGAGCUACAUUCAGGAAGAGGAGGCCCGACACAUCUUCACACAGAUAGUUUGUGCAGUUAAUUACUGCCACAAGAAUGGCAUUGCACACAGGGACAUCAAGCCAGAAAACAUUCUGAUGGAUGCUAGAAGAAACAUCAAACUGUGUGACUUUGGCCUGGCCAUCAAGGUUAACACUGAGCAGAAGUCAACAGUGUUCUGUGGCACCCUUCCAUACUGUGCACCAGAACUUUUCAGCAUCCAAAGCUAUGAUCCCAGGGCCCUUGAUAUCUGGAGCAUGGGGGUGGUACUAUACAUCAUGGUGACGAAGCAUUACCCGUUCAAAGCAACGACAUAUGACAAGAUGAGGGAGGAGAUGCGGGACCCACACUACUAUAUCCCGCCAAAGCUCCCAGCACACAUUGCCAACCUCAUCAUGCAGUUGUUCACUAUUGAUCCUUUGCAGAGGCCCAAGAUAGGUGACGUUGCGAAACAUCAGUGGCUGCAGGGCAGCGAGGAGCUUUCAAAAAUCACCCUACCCCAAGAGACACUCAGCAGCAAGCCCAGCCCCAGUAUUAUGGCAAUUAUGGGGGCCAUGGGCUACAACCCCAAGGACAUUACAGACUCUUUAUAUAAAAAAAAAUUUAAUAGCAUCAUGGCAACUUACUUAAUUUUAAAACACCAGUCACCCUACAGGGACAGCGCUAACCGCAAGUUUAAACUCAUUCAGCCUCGUAGUGCCACGAUACCCACAGAUCCUCCCACUGUCCAUGUCUUCCUAAAGAACAUCGGGACUGAGCCUGACAAUUCCACCUCUGCUCCAACAGCAAAAGACAAGCCCUACAACAACGCCAAGCUUGUAAGAAAGGACAGCAAGAAUCCCAGGAUAACUGAUGCUAUGGGCCGCCAGAAGACUCGUGUCCCUCCUGAAACAGCUGCCCAGUGUGGGCCUGUGCAGCGUCACCAGGAGCCUCUCUUGAAAAGCAGCUUGCUGAAGAGAAACGUGGCUUCCAGUGCUGUAUCCUCUUUUCCUGUGCAGUAUGACCGUGAUCAGUUCUUGAACAGUAGCUUGCAGAAGAGAGGGGUGGUUUCUAAGGCCGUGUCCUGUGGUCCUGUGCAGUAUGUGCAGAGGAGAAACAUGAUGUCCAAGGCUGUGUCCUGUGGUCCUGUGGAGUAUGAAGAUGAGCAUCCCCCGAGCCACAGCUCACAGAAAAGAGGGGUGGUUUCUAAGGCCGUGUCCUGUGGUCCUGUCGAGUAUGAAGAUGAGCAUCCCCUGAGCCACAGCUUGCAGAAGAGAGGGGUGGUUUCUAAGGCUGUGUCCUGUGGUUCCAUGCAGCAUGACCUCGAGCAGCUCCCGAGCUUUCAAAAAACAAAUAUGGUUUCCAAGGCUGUGUCCUGUGGUCCUGUGCAGCUCUCCAACAGCACCUUGCAGAAGGGAGGCCUGGUUUCCAAGGCCGUGUCCUGUGGUUCCAUGCAGCAUGACCUCGAGCAGCUCCCGAGCUUUCAAAAAACAAAUAUGGUUUCCAAGGCUGUGUCCUGUGGUCCUGUGCAGCUCUCCAACAGCACCUUGCAGAUGGGAGGCCUGGUUUCCAAGGCCGUGUCCUGUGGUUCCAUGCAGCAUGACCUCGAGCAGCUCCCAAGCUUUCAAAAAACAAAUAUGGUUUCCAAGGCCGUGUCCUGUGGUCCUGUGCAGCUCUCCAACAGCACCUUGCAGAAUGGAGGCCUGGUUUCUAAGGCCGUGUCCUGUGAGUCCAUGCAGCAUGACCAUGAGCACCUCCUAAGCGGCUCCAUGGAAAAGAGAAACACAGUGGCUUCCAGGGGUACGUCUCCAGACACAGCUCCCUCCAUGGACGUUCUUUCUGAGUACCACAUUUUCCAGAUGGAUCCCCAGGGUGAAUCCCUGACUAAGUGCAGCUCAUACAUCCACAGUAUAGCCUCUGUAUGGAGCUCUGAGGAGAAGCCUCAGGAUAUGGCCACCACAGACUGUCAUCACAAGGACAGAAGCUUGUCCUUGCAGGAAACAUCUGAACCAAGCUUUGCUGCUGCCCAGACCCAGUGUGUAACCACAGCCUCUCCUCAGAACUCAUCAGGCAGAUGGAAGCGGGCAAAGAGAAGGAUGGUGAAGUGUUUAAGGAGAUUAUGCUGCUGUCUGCCAGACCAAAGGAGAAGCUGCACUUCCCAGAGGAGAGUGCUUCCACAGGAGGUGGGAGAAAGUGGAGUCACACAAAACCAGGCUCUUUUGCAGUAGAUUUUGGGAGCCCCUCCAGCCAGUGCAUGGUGUCCGUGUACUUUUGACCAGCUUCAGGCAGGAUCUCUGUGAGUGCUUUAGUCUCUGGUGACUGCAGGUAUCUGGAGACCAGCAGGUUCUUCCUGCCUCUGCCCAGGACGCCAUAGAAGAUUCGCCUGACAAGCUGGCCAGGGAUAUGACUGGUGUGUAGUACAUCGGAGAUCUUGGACCAGAUGCAGAGACCCUGAAGCUGAGACUGGAGGUUGUGAUGAAGGCAAGUCUCAUGGCCAGCCCAGUGAGGAGGGCAUUCUUCAAAGUGACUACAAAGUCUUCCUGUCCUUGAGCUGUGGCGCACUGGAGGAGGUGAAACCUGCAUGCCACGUUCUCACACGUAAACAACUGGUCCUGGAGAAAAGGAACAAACUUGUAUGACAUCACCUCUGAGGUAGAACUCAUUAAAUCAUUGGAAGAUCAUCAAACUCUUAUACACGGUUGAUACACCAUUAACCACUUACAUGAUAAUUGGGUGUGUGGUGAGGAGAAGAACUGGAGAGGUGCCCAAUGGAGGAUGGAGCAUUAUGGCUUUUCCAGCAGGCUACGUCAGUUGUUCACUUCCUCCUCCGGAGGCACAGGCUACCAGAAUAUCCAAUUGGAAAACAUCUAGUGGAUGCAGCAGGAAAUUCAAAGCUUUGUGACUUUGGUAUGGCAACUAAACUCACAAAGGGACAGGUGAUGGGGAAGCUCUGUGGCUCCCUGAUCUACCUGACCCCAGAUACCUUGACAGGUAGACUGUGUAAUGGCCUUACAGUUGACACAGAAUUUGGAUAUCCUUCUCAGUGUCAUGUUCACAGAUCUCUUUCCAUACUUAGAAACAAUUCUUUCAGGCAUGCACCCGCUCAUCACCACCACAAUGUGUCAUCUUUCUUGUUACUUGUCCAAAACCCACCAGGUUAUUAUUGCAAGCUUGGUCCUGGUCCUCCCUUCCCCGUGAUAGUGGGUCAUCUAGUGGAACACACAUGGCUGUACCACAUCCAAGAACAUGCACCACUUGUCUCUAAAGAAAUAAUAUUGAUGACCAUGAAGAACAUGUGUAUGAUUAGACACGGGUAAACUAUGUAAAACACAGGUUACAAAAUGAAAGUCACAGCUAAAUUCAAUGUUUUGAAACAUCAGUUGGGCUGUGGGGAUAGCUGUCUCCCAACUGUAAGGCCCCAUUUAAAUCCCAGUGCUGCAGGGUUUCUUGCCUAACACCCAGUGCUGCCCAGAGAAGAUGCGCUGUCUAGGUACCACAGACACGGAAAGCAAAACUGUGAAUGUUUGGAGGACAUUGAAGUUGGUGUGACUCUGGGUGACACUCCACUUGAUGAGGAGGCCCCAACAGAGUCAGCCUAGGACGCAACAACCACAGGGCUAAAUGAAGAGAACAAGAGCUUGUGCCCUGUGGAGCCCCCAACAGAGUCAGCCUAGGACGCAACAACCACAGGGCUAAAUGAAGAGAACAAGAGCUUGUGCCCUGUGGAGCCCCCAACAGGGUGAGUCUCACCCAGUGUCCCAGCCCCAGGUUGAACCUAUAGACUCUGGCUCCAAGAUGGCUCUGGCUGGAAGGGACCAAGGAGGUGAAUUACUUGAGUAUUUAGAACACUUUGCUGCUGCCUGCCCACCCAAAGGUGAGUCAUGAAUACUUGUGGUAAGGAGCUGCAAAGAAAGGAGACAGGAAUGGGGUCCUGUAGUUUAGGGCAUCAAAAUGCAUGUCUACAUUUUAUUUUAAUGCUUUUUGGAUGACCCUUGUAAGUGGCAAAUUACAAAUUUAUGGUGUACAAGACUUAAGGUGUCAAUGUCUUUAGAAGGAACAAGCUUACAAUCUCCCUCUCAUGUAGAUUCUUGGGUUGUUGAGCCAGAUGUAGUUAGCAGAGUGUAGCAACCAGAGGAUGGGAAGGGAGAGAGGAGAGUUUUGCAAAGGGGGCAAAGGUUCAGUAGUUGGGGGAUCAAGUGGAGGGCUAAGGUACAGCAGGGUACUUAGUGCCAAGUCCUGCCUAUGUUAACAUGACUAACGGAAGACUUUCCAUGGAUCUUUUUUCAAGUGGUGAAAUAGACAAGGCCUGGUGCAGAUGGACAGCCACUGAAGAGAGCCAGGCCAGAAUGUGAAUGUCAGGGUGCUGUUUGCCCACACACCCAGGGCACAGGCUCCACAGCCAUCCUUCAUCAGGUCUUUGCUGCCAACUCCCUGCUUGCUCAGCCCAGCACUGCAGGCUGCACCAAUAGGUGGUCUCACGUGACAUCUACCUGAUGAAGGCCUACCUCUCCAGCUCCUGUGGAACAGAUACCCCUGGAAGCCAGACUGUCUGGCAUACAGCCUCCUUCCUUCCAGCCUCUGUGGUGAUGUCCCUUCCUAUCCCACAGAAACAAUCCCUCAACACUUACUUGACUGCACUUGAGAUCGCUUUGGUUCCUGCAACAGGGUGGGUAAGGCCUCUCUGGGACUGGGGCUCAGAAUGUCUCUGUAGGAAGCAGCCGUGGGGCUACUUUGUAAUCAGUGUCCGCCUCAGGGGUAAGGUUUAGAAAGAACCAUGGAGCCAUGGAUGGCAGCCAGUGAUGCUGAGUGGACACUAGCUGCUGUGGUGCUGCAGUGCUCUUCUGGGUACCUUCUUGGUGGGGUGGAGCUCCUGGCGUCCACAGGGACCCACCAGCUGACCAGGAACACAGGGGGAUGACCUGUGGAUAUCAUGCAUUUGAGAUAAUUCUGAGUCCACCAAGUAUCUGCUUGUGGUAAAAGAUGGGUUUCUGAAGCCUGCCCUUGACAGAACACUAGUCCAGUGAAUACAAGGGAGGUGACUUAUGCAGGAUGCCCUGACCCAGAGGGGAAGGGGCUGACUUGCUUUUGGGAUUUGGUCUGUUGUGCUUAGCAGCAGGCUUUCCUCUCUCACCCUCUGGCCCCAGGCCUUUUUGGCAUCCUGGAAUAUUCUCAGGAGAGUACCAAGUUGUGUUCCCAGCUAUGUGGCAUGAAUGUGGUCAUGUCACUGGCCAGCCACUGCAUGACAUCAUACUUUUUACAGCCCCGACCAUGUAGUGAGUCCCAUUUGGCCCCACAUGGGAACAAGGCAGAGGCGCAGAUGGUCUUGUUUGUGUGGGCCGAGCAGGUGUGGGUAUGGGUGUGGGUGUGGUGUUCACUGGGGUAGGCCUCAGCUUCUGCUUCUACCAGGGCUGGGAAGGUGGUACAUUUUGUUGCUCUCUUGGAAACAAGUUAGGGGAAAUAGUCAAUAGGGAGUGCAGUGGAGAGGGAGUGAGAGGGGAGGGUAGAAGGAGAGAGAAGACUGACUGACUGACUGUCUGUCUGUCUGUCUGUCUGUCUGUCUGGUUUAUGAGGUCCUCUCAAGGAAAAUUGGGUUGCUUAGUUAUGGCCCUCAGCGUGCUUCUCUGUAUAUAAGGUGUGCCAGGAACCUUUGUUGCAGAAGAUGAUGGAAGGUGCCUUCACACCUGAUCUCCUGCUUCCUUAACCUGUCUUGUAGGGAAAUCACACAGCUCUGAAGACAUUUUCUAUGAUGGCUCAUUGGUGCUCAUCUUGUGGCCAUCCAAAGAGAAAAGCAGGGACGAAGCCCAGCCCGUGGCAGCAAGUUUCACGAUGGAACCCACAUUGUUAGGUCACACACAGAGGUGUGCAUGUGGCACUAACUAACCUGAACAUUGUCCACACAUGGCUUUGGUUUUCUACUGAAGAGCAGAGUACGGUGAGGAAGGGGUCCUUGAACCUAGCACCUUUACCAGUUGCUUGUCUAUAUCCUGCACACUCGGCAGCUGGGAGCCAAUGUGUUUCCUAGCUGCCUCCAGGUUUCAGGAUGUUCAGAUCCACAGUUCCACUGCAGCCCACAGAAUUCCUGCUUAUGAUGGAGGAAACGCCAGGGGCCUUAUCAGAGAAAUGGAGGAGCUUCUUCUUGAGGGAUGAACAAGUUAGGUCAGGGAACUGGGUCAUUCCUGAUCCAGGUCUUUGGCCCUAGCCGUGAUGUCCUCUGUGGCCCCAGGCUGGGCUUAGGAGUUCAGUGUCAGCUCCAGAGACCCACCAGCCUUCCUCCCGGGUCUCAGUUCUGCUGGCUGUAUUUGAUGGGUUCAGCAUUGAAACUUUCUUCGCUCUGUAUCACCUGGACAAGCAUAAAGGAGGUGGGAAGUGGGAGGACAGAGGCUCUAGUGUGACAUGUUGGUAGGGAGCCUUUUCUGACCACCUGAUCCCAAAGCCUGCUGCCAGGAAAAAGAGCUGGUCCAGCCAGGCUGCUUGGUGUCUCUUCCCAGGGGAGGUUACAAAGGAAGGAGACGGGCUUUGUGCUUGUCUCUCUUUAGUCUCUGACCACCAGUGGGAAUGAACAUGCUCUUCUCUGGCUGCAGCCUUCAUCCCAGGGAAUGUGAGACUUUGUGUCUGGUUAUCCAUUUGUCUGGAAUGGUCUUCCUUUCUUACAGCUGCUUGGCCAGACCUUGCUACCUGUAGCUAAAAUUGCCUCUACCUAGCAGCAGCAGCAGCAGCAGCAGCAGCAGCAGCAGCAGCAGCAGCAGCAGCAGCAGCAGCAGCACACUCCCCACC